rnacentral:rRNA from 1 species
CAAUAGCGUAUAUUUAAGUUGUUGCAGUUAAAAAGCUCGUAGUUGGAUUUCGGAUGGGAUUUGCCGGUCCGUCGUUACGAUGUGCACUGGCUAGUCCUAUCUUGUUGUCGGGGACUAGCUCCUUGGAUUCACUUCCUGGGACUAGGAGCUGACGAGGUUACUUUGAGUAAAUUAGAGUGUUCAAAGCAAGCCUACGCUCUGAAUACAUUAGCAUGGAAUAACACGAUAGGACUCUGGCUUAUCUUGUUGGUCUGUGAGACCAGAGUAAUGAUUAAGAGGGACAGUCGGGGACAUUCGUAUUUCAUUGUCAGAGGUGAAAUUCUUGGAUUUAUGAAAGACGAACUUCUGCGAAAGCAUUUGUCAAGGAUGUUUUCAUUAA